AUACGGAGGGUGCGAGCGUUGUUCGGAAUUAUUGGGCGUAAAGAGCAUGUAGGCGGUCUGUUAAGUCUGGUGUGAAAGCCCGGGGCUCAACCCCGGAAGUGCAUUGGAUACUGGCAGACUUGAGUAUGUGAGAGGAAAGCGGAAUUCCGAGUGUAGGAGUGAAAUCCGUAGAUAUUCGGAGGAACACCAGUGGCGAAGGCGGCUUUCUGGGCCAAUACUGACGCUGAGAUGCGAAAGCGUGGGGAGCGAACAGAAUUAGAUACCCCAGUAGUCC
rnacentral:rRNA from 1 species